GUGAUGCGAGUCAUGCCAUCCCAGGUGGAUCUGACAAACAAUCGAAUAGGAUGUCUGAAUGCAGACAUAUUUCGAGGACUCACCAAUCUGGUUCGGCUAAACCUUUCGGGGAAUUUGUUUUCUUCAUUAUCUCAAGGAACUUUUGAUUAUCUUGCCUCAUUACGGUCUUUGGAAUUCCAGACUGAGUAUCUUUUGUGUGACUGUAACAUACUGUGGAUGCAUCGCUGGGUAAAGGAGAGGAACAUCACGGUACGGGAUACCAGGUGUGUUUAUCCUAAGUCACUGCAGGCCCAACCAGUCACAGGCGUGAAGCAGGAGCUGUUGACAUGCGACCCUCCGCUUGAAUUGCCGUCUUUCUACAUGACUCCAUCUCAUCGCCAAGUUGUGUUUGAAGGAGACAGCCUUCCUUUCCAGUGCAUGGCUUCAUAUAUUGAUCAGGACAUGCAAGUGUUGUGGUAUCAGGAUGGGAGAAUAGUUGAAACCGAUGAAUCACAAGGUAUUUUUGUUGAAAAGAACAUGAUUCACAACUGCUCCUUGAUUGCAAGUGCCCUAACCAUUUCUAAUAUUCAGGCUGGAUCUACUGGAAAUUGGGGCUGUCAUGUCCAGACCAAACGUGGGAAUAAUACGAGGACUGUGGAUAUUGUGGUAUUAGAGAGUUCUGCACAGUACUGUCCUCCAGAGAGGGUGGUAAACAACAAAGGUGAUUUCAGAUGGCCCAGAACAUUGGCGGGCAUUACUGCAUAUCUGCAGUGUACGCGGAACACCCAUGGCAGUGGGAUAUAUCCUGGAAACCCACAGGAUGAGAGAAAAGCUUGGCGCAGAUGUGAUAGAGGUGGCUUUUGGGCAGAUGAUGAUUAUUCUCGCUGUCAGUAUGCAAAUGAUGUCACUAGAGUUCUUUAUAUGUUUAAUCAGAUGCCCCUCAAUCUUACCAAUGCCGUGGCAACAGCUCGACAGUUACUGGCUUACACAGUGGAAGCAGCCAACUUUUCUGACAAAAUGGAUGUAAUAUUUGUGGCGGAAAUGAUUGAAAAAUUUGGAAGAUUUACCAAAGAGGAAAAAUCAAAAGAGCUAGGUGAUGUGAUGGUUGACAUUGCAAGUAACAUCAUGUUGGCUGAUGAACGUGUCCUGUGGCUGGCGCAGAGGGAAGCUAAAGCCUGCAGUAGGAUUGUGCAGUGUCUUCAGCGCAUUGCUACCUACCGGCUAGCCGGUGGAGCUCACGUUUAUUCAACAUAUUCACCCAAUAUUGCUCUGGAAGCUUAUGUCAUCAAGUCUACUGGCUUCACGGGGAUGACCUGUACCGUGUUCCAGAAAGUGGCAGCCUCUGAUCGUACAGGACUUUCGGAUUAUGGGAGGCGGGAUCCAGAUGGAAACCUGGAUAAGCAGCUGAGCUUUAAGUGCAAUGUUUCAAAUACAUUUUCGAGUCUGGCACUAAAGCAAAAAAGAGAACUCAGGCCAACUGAUGACUCUCUUUACAAGCUUCAACUCAUUGCAUUCCGCAAUGGAAAGCUUUUUCCAGCCACUGGAAAUUCAACAAAUUUGGCUGAUGACGGAAAACGACGUACUGUGGUUACCCCUGUGAUUCUCACCAAAAUAGAUGGUGUGAAUGUAGAUACCCACCACAUCCCUGUUAAUGUGACACUGCGUCGAAUUGCACAUGGAGCAGAUGCUGUUGCAGCCCGGUGGGAUUUCGAUUUGCUGAACGGACAAGGAGGCUGGAAGUCAGAUGGGUGCCAUAUACUCUAUUCAGAUGAAAAUAUCACUACGAUUCAGUGCUACUCCCUUAGUAACUAUGCAGUUUUAAUGGAUUUGACAGGAUCUGAACUAUACACCCAGGCAGCCAGCCUCCUGCACCCUGUGGUUUAUACUACCGCUAUCAUUCUCCUCUUAUGUCUCUUAGCCGUCAUUGUCAGUUACAUAUACCAUCACAGUUUGAUUAGAAUCAGCCUCAAGAGCUGGCACAUGCUUGUGAACUUGUGCUUUCAUAUUUUCCUAACCUGUGUGGUCUUUGUGGGAGGAAUAACCCAGACCAGGAAUGCCAGCGUCUGCCAAGCAGUUGGGAUAAUUCUUCACUAUUCCACCCUUGCCACAGUCCUAUGGGUAGGAGUGACGGCUCGAAAUAUCUACAAACAAGUCACUAAAAAAGCUAAAAGAUGCCAGGAUCCUGAUGAACCACCACCUCCACCAAGACCAAUGCUCAGAUUUUACCUGAUUGGUGGUGGUAUUCCCAUCAUUGUUUGCGGCAUAACUGCAGCAGCGAACAUUAAGAAUUAUGGCAGUCGGCCAAAUGCACCCUAUUGCUGGAUGGCAUGGGAACCCUCCUUGGGAGCCUUCUAUGGGCCAGCCAGCUUCAUCACUUUUGUAAACUGCAUGUACUUUCUGAGCAUAUUUAUUCAGUUGAAAAGACACCCUGAGCGCAAAUAUGAGCUUAAGGAGCCCACGGAGGAGCAACAGAGAUUGGCAGCCAAUGAAAAUGGUGAAAUAAAUCAUCAGGAUUCAAUGUCUUUGUCUCUGAUUUCUACAUCAGCCUUGGAAAAUGAGCACACUUUUCAUUCUCAGCUUUUGGGGGCCAGCCUUACUUUGCUCUUAUAUGUUGCACUGUGGAUGUUUGGGGCUUUGGCUAUUUCUUUGUAUUACCCUUUGGACUUGGUUUUUAGCUUCGUUUUUGGAGCCACAUGUUUAAGCUUCAGUGCAUUCUUCAUGGUCCACCAUUGUGUUAAUAGGGAGGAUGUUAGACUUGCAUGGAUCAUGACUUGCUGCCCAGGACGGAGCUCGUAUUCAGUGCAAGUCAACGUCCAGCCCCCCAACUCUAGUGGGACAAAUGGAGAGGCACCCAAGUGCCCCAAUAGCAGUGCGGAGUCUUCAUGCACAAACAAAAGUGCUUCAAGCUUCAAAAAUUCCUCCCAGGGCUGCAAAUUAACAAACUUGCAGGCGGCUGCAGCUCAGUGCCAUGCCAAUUCUUUACCUUUGAACUCCACCCCUCAGCUUGAUAAUAGUCUGACAGAACAUUCGAUGGACAAUGAUAUUAAAAUGCACGUGGCACCUUUAGAAGUUCAGUUUCGAACAAAUGUGCACUCAAGCCGCCACCAUAAAAACAGAAGUAAAGGACACCGGGCAAGCCGACUUACAGUCCUGAGAGAAUAUGCCUAUGAUGUCCCAACGAGCGUGGAAGGAAGCGUGCAGAACGGCUUACCUAAAAGCCGGCUGGGCAAUAACGAAGGACACUCAAGGAGCCGAAGAGCUUAUUUAGCCUACAGAGAGAGACAGUACAACCCACCCCAGCAAGACAGCAGCGAUGCUUGUAGCACACUUCCCAAAAGCAGCAGAAAUUUUGAAAAGCCAGUUUCAACCAGUAGUAAAAAAGAUGCGUUAAGGAAGCCAGCUGUGGUUGAACUUGAAAAUCAGCAGAAAUCUUAUGGCCUUAACUUGGCCAUUCAGAAUGGACCAAUUAAAAGCAAUGGGCAGGAGGGACCCUUGCUCGGUACCGAUAGCACUGGCAAUGUUAGGACUGGAUUAUGGAAACAUGAAACUACUGUG
rnacentral:sRNA from 1 species